rnacentral:rRNA from 1 species
AGUAAAAGUCGUAACAAGGUUUCCGUAGGUGAACCUGCGGAAGGAUCAUUAAUGAAUUAAUGACAAGGUUGUAGCUGGCCUUCAUCAGGCAUGUGCACGCCUUGCUCAUCUCCAUUCAUACACCUCUGUGCACAUUUCAUAGGUUGGUUGUGGCUGUCUUCACGGAUGGUCUGACCUGCCUAUGCUCUUAUAAACGCUUCAGUUAUAGAAUGUUAAUCGCGUAUAACGCAUUAUAUACAACUUUCAGCAACGGAUCUCUUGGCUCUCGCAUCGAUGAAGAACGCAGCGAAAUGCGAUAAGUAAUGUGAAUUGCAGAAUUCAGUGAAUCAUCGAAUCUUUGAACGCACCUUGCGCUCCUUGGUAUUCCGAGGAGCAUGCCUGUUUGAGUGUCAUGGUAUUCUCAAUCCCCUAAAUCUUUGCGGAUUCAGGUGGUAUUGGAUUUGGAGGCCUUGCCGGCGUGUUCAACAUCGGCUCCUCUUAAAUGUAUUAGCAGGAAUGUUACUGCAAUCUCCUCAGCGUGAUAAUUGUCUACGUUGUGGUGAGGGCGUAUAUAUAUGUUCAUGCUUUACAUCGUCCCUCGCGACAAUUCUUUUGACAUCUGACCUCAAAUCAGG